GGAAAAGUCCACACACUGCGAGGUGGAUAAUUCAUGGGAAUUACAACAGCGGGUCUUGAGGAAUCUCCCUGGAGAGAUGGGGCUCCUGCAGAGGUGCUCGUGGCUAUGUAGAGUACGCCUUUCCUGAGGUUCUUCUUUACCUGUGGAACAGCCUGGUGCGUGAGUAACUGAUGGAUCUACUCUGACCCGUGUUCAGUUUAUUCCUACGCAGAGGACCCCUUUCCAAGAGGGCACUGAGCAGGAGGGAAGUGAGCUUUGGGUGCGUCAGUCAGGUGAGACCUGGAAGAGGCUGCUCAGCAAACACACAGAAUAAUAAGCAUGUUAGUGCUUGUGGGUCCCCAUGAGAAGAGGGCCAUGUGUACAGGAGCAGUUGGAAAGGAAGGGAGAGCUGUAAGGACACACAUGGCCCACCAGCAGAUGAGGAACUAGAGAAACAGGAGAGACCCAUGGCCAGAGUCUUCCCUGGGACCUGGGGCAUUACCAGGCAGGUUCCUGACAUGGAGUUCACACUGGUGAGUCUGGAGCAGGUGGGCAUGAGCCCCAGGGAGGCCUGCAGAGCACCCCAUUCACGGUGUGGGGAUCUAUGGGCCACCAGCUGGGUUGUAACCAGCUGUCUGGAGAGAAGUUGAGGAUGCUUCAGGUGGAUCUCUUCUUCAACAACCACCUCAGGGAACCGAGAGGGUACAGAGCUAGCAACUGCAUCAAGGACUCCUGAACCCUGCUUCUGGUAUGAGAAAGUCUAACUUCUAGACAAAGUGGAUGUUGAAGCAACACGACACUAUGAAAUUCACCACUUGCUUCAUUCCUUUGGGCUCGCAGCAUUUUCAUCUGUAAAAGACCGCAACAUGCUGAAGCAAACGUGAAGGCCACAUCCCAAGUCUCUCUGCAUGCACUGUAGCUCUCGGGAAGAAAUAUGAGAAUAAAAUAAUGCACUAUGGGAGGAAUGGCAAGGGAUGGCCAACACCACAAAACAAAAGAAAACAAAGAAACCACAGGACACACACAGAGUCUCGCUGUCCAAAGUCUUCCCCUGGUUUCUCUCAAGUAUGAGGCAAGUGUGCAUUUCUAGUCAGUGGAGAGCAGGAGUGUGUGCUUCAAGAAGAAUCUCUGGGAAGAAACUAAAUUAAAAAUUCAAGGGAAUGAUUUAUUGAACAAAUAUCUGGAAAAAGGAUCAAGAAUGGAGCGAGGAUGGCAGUAGGUCUGGCGGAAGACAAAUCAUGACACAUUUUGGCAGUGGACCUUCUUUAAUGUUAUCCCCAGCUUCAGUACCAGAGGUACUGAAGGUAUUUUUUCAGAGUAUUUCUCAGUCUUGAGCUUAAUUGCCAACAUUUUCAUGAGCUUGCAG
rnacentral:lncRNA from 1 species